CUUUUCUAACUUAUGCACAACAUCAGAAGUAAAUCAAGAAACUAAUUUGGCCUUAUGUAUGUGUAUGGGAAGAACUAAGAGAAAGUUGCAUUUUUGGCUUUUACAAUUAGUGCAUAUAUACCAUAACAAGGAAUGUGAAUCACAGCCAAGC